rnacentral:rRNA from 1 species
AAGGAAUAUUGGACAAUGGGCGCAAGCCUGAUCCAGCCAUGCCGCGUGUGUGAAGAAGGCCUUCGGGUUGUAAAGCACUUUUGUCCGGAAAGAAAUCCUUCGAAUUAAUACUUCGGAGGGAUGACGGUACCGGAAGAAUAAGCACCGGCUAACUUCGUGCCAGCAGCCGCGGUAAUACGAAGGGUGCAAGCGUUACUCGGAAUUACUGGGCGUAAAGCGUGCGUAGGUGGUUUGUUAAGUCUGAUGUGAAAGCCCUGGGCUCAACCUGGGAAUGGCAUUGGAUACUGGCGAGCUAGAGUGCGGUAGAGGGCAGUGGAAUUCCCGGUGUAGCAGUGAAAUGCGUAGAGAUCGGGAGGAACAUCUGUGGCGAAGGCGACUGCCUGGACCAGCACUGACACUGAGGCACGAAAGCGUGGGGAGCAAA